GACGAACGCCGGCGGCGUGCUUAACACAUGCAAGUCGAACGGCAAGGCCCUGCUUUUGUGGGGUGCCCGAGUGGCGAACGGGUGCGUCACACGUGAGUCACCUGCCCUUGACUUUGGGAUAACUUCAGGCAACUGGGGCUAAUACCGGAUCGGCGCUCCUGCCGCCUGGCGGGGGUCGCACUUUUUCCGCGGCUGGGGAUGGACUCCCGGUAUAUCAGCUUGUUCGUGGGGUUGUGGCCUACCUAGGCGUUGACGGGUAGCCGGCCUGAGAGGGUGACCGGCGACGUUGGGACUGAGGUUGGGCCCAGGCACCUACGGGAGGCAGCAGUAGGGAAGAUGUCACAAUGGGCGGAAGCCUAAUGCAGCAACGCCGCGUGCGGGAUGACGGCCUUCGGGUUGUAAACCGCUUUCGCCUGUGACGAAGCGUGAGUGACGGUAAUGGGUAGAGAGACACCAGCUAACUACGUG
rnacentral:rRNA from 1 species